GACGAACGCUGGCGGCGUGCUUAACACAUGCAAGUCGAACGGAAAGGCCUUUUCGGCGGUACUCGAGUGGCGAACGGGUGAGUAACACGUGGGUGAUCUGCCCUGCACUCUGGGAUAAGCCUGGGAAACUGGGUCUAAUACCGGAUAGGACCGCACUUUAGUGUGUGUGGUGGAAAGUUUUUUCGGUGUAGGAUGAGCCCGCGGCCUAUCAGCUUGUUGGUGGGGUAAUGGCCUACCAAGGCGGCGACGGGUAGCCGGACUGAGAGGUUGGUCGGCCACAUUGGGACUGAGAUACGGCCCAGACACCUACGGGAGGCAGCAGUGGGGAAUAUUGCACAAUGGGCGCAAGCCUGAUGCAGCGACGCCGCGUGGGGGAUGACGGCCUUCGGGUUGUAAACUCCUUUCGCCAGGGACGAAGCGUUUUGUGACGGUACCUGGAGAAGAAGCACCGGCUAACUACGUG
rnacentral:rRNA from 1 species